GACGAACGUUGGCGGCGCGCAUAAUGCAUGCAAGUCGAACGAAGACCCACCCUUCGGGGUGAAGUCUUUGUGGCAGACGGCUGAGUAACACGUGAGUGAUCUGCCCUCGGGUGGGGGACAACAGGGAGAAAUUCCUGCUAAUACCCCAUGUGGUUCACAAUCUAAGGUUGUGAACGAAAGGUGCUGGGUAACCGGUUUCCGCCCUUGGAUGAGCUCGCGGCCUAUCAGGUAGUUGGUGGGGUAAUAGCCUACCAAGCCGAAGACGGGUAGCUGGUGUGAGAGCACGACCAGUCAGAGGGGGACUGAGACACGGCCCCC
rnacentral:rRNA from 1 species